CUUUCACAUUUUCUUUCCUAAUUAACUUAACUCUAUUUUGAGUUGAGCUGAGCUGAAUAAUUAUGGCGAUGCUAUUGAGAAAACUAUGCGAUUCAGCAUCAUCAUCGAUUAAACGAUCCACCAACACCACAAAUUCUUCAUCAUCAUCACGAUCACACCAACAUCAUCAUCAUCAUGCUCCGAGUCCUUUGGGUUUAUUUGACUCACUCCCUCCUGACAUACUCCUCAAAAUCACAAGACUAUUAGGCCCUAAACAUGCUGCCAAACUCUGCCUCGUUUGCAAGUCAUGGCGAUCUCUCGUCUCCGAUAACGAACUCUGGGCUCAUUUUCUUCAGACUCACCAGCCUAUACACUUUCACUCUAUUCUCUUCUCAGAAACUAAUUUAACCUCUGGUUACCCUCUUCCAAUCUUUGAUACUCAGACGACACCACACGUUUCGUUUAAGCAUGUUUUUGGUCACCGAGAGCAGCUUCCUCCCGCUAUUAUCAUCGACGGUGGUUCUGGAUAUUGCAAAUUUGGUUGGAGCAAAGAGGACCGUCCAUUGGGACGAGUUGCUACCUUUUUGGAAUUUGGUAAUGUGGAAACGCCAAUAUAUACUAGGCUUCGACAUUUUUUUGCAACUGUCUAUGGCAGGAUGAAGGUGAAACCAAGUUCUCAAGUGGUUGUUGUUUCAUUGCCAUUAUGCCACUAUGAUGAUACCGAAUCAGCCAAAGCAUCAAGACAGCAGCUUAAAGAAGCAAUCUGUGCUGCUCUGUUUGACAUGAAUGUUCCUGCUGUUUGUGCUCUCAACCAGGCAACUUUAGCUCUGUAUGCUGCAAAUCAAACUUCUGGAAUAGCUGUUAAUAUAGGCUUUCAAGUUACAUCUGUCGUUCCAAUUUUAAAUGGUAAAGUGAUGCGAAAGGUGGGUGUGGAGGUUGUUGGGCUUGGAGCACUAAAACUUACAGGAUUUCUUAGAGAGAAAAUGCAACAAAACAACCUAUAUUUUGAAUCUUUAUACACCGUUCGCACACUGAAAGAGAAGCUAUGCUAUGUUGCCUAUGACUAUGAAGCUGAGCUAUCGAAGGAUACACAUGCAUCAUUUGAAGCCGCUGAAGGGAAGUUUACACUCUCAAAAGAGCGGUUUCAAACAGGAGAGAUCUUAUUCCAGCCACGUCUUGCUGGGGUGCGAGCAAUGAGUUUGCACCAUGCCAUAGCUCUCUGCAUGGACCAUUGUCAUUCUGCAGAAUUAGCAGGUGGCAGUGAUUGGUUUAAGACCGUUGUCUUAUCAGGAGGGUCUGCAUGUUUACCAGGCUUAGCAGAGAGGUUAGAGAAGGAACUUCAUUCAUUACUUCCACCGUAUAUGUCAAAUGGAAUCAGAGUCAUCCCUCCUCCACACGGUGCAGAUACUGCAUGGUUUGGUGCAAAGCUUAUCGGCAGUAGCUGAUUGUUUGUGAAUUAUGUUCAGUUGAGUACCUUUCCUGCCCCCUGGUGCAUAACAAAGAAGCAAUUCCGUCAGAAGUCUAAACUCAACCGGAUAUGGUGAUUUGAUCAAAUCUUCUGUUCUUGAUGAUAUAAUUAUUCUAUAACAGCAAUUCUGCUUAAUACUUGUCCGUUAGUUACAAAUGCUUUAAAUACUUUAUGCAUAGCUUUGCUGAUAAGAAGCCUUUAUAGGCAUCCAGUUUGUAUAGAAUGAAAAAGAGACAGAUAAUCUGUAAUGAAAAGAUUGAUGGAGAAACUAGGUAGUGUACCAUGUUCCUGGCAAGGUUUGGGUGAAUAUGAUCAGUGGUGCUGUGGGUAUGGCCAAUGGCAAGGAGUCACCACAGUGGUUAUACUUCAACGGUGGAACCAGUGGCGAGGAAGGUUGCUGUGUGAAAAGGAGGAGAUGCUUCGUAGAAAACGAGUGAUAACCACAUUUUUCAAAACUAGCAGCAAUUUCAAUGUAAUACUUCAAAAUUUAAAAUUCUGAAUCACAUUAGUUAUUUUAGACAGUUUAAAGACUAACUACAUGUUUUUACUUCUCGUCUUGAACCAACAAAACGAAGAUCAAAACAAGGACUUGAAAAAGAACACCCAAGAAUUCUAUAA